rnacentral:rRNA from 1 species
UAGGACGGAUGGUUCUAUUUCGUUGGUUUCUAGGAUCACCGUAAUGAUUAAUAGGGAUAUUGGGGGCAUUAGUAUUCAAUUGUCAGAGGUGAAAUUCUUGGAUUUAUUGAAGACUAACUACUGCGAAAGCAUUUGCCAAGGAUGUUUUCAUUAAUCAAGAACGAAAGUUAGGGGAUCGAAGACGAUCAGAUACCGUCGUAGUCUUAACCAUAAACUAUGCCGACUAGGAAUCAGACGAUGUUAA